CUGUUAACUUGGCCCAGAAUAUUUCCAAGCCAGGCGCUACGGUAGUUGCUCACAAGCGCUGUGCAUGAGCAUGGUAGGUUGCUGCGCAUGCGGUAGUAGCGUGUGUACCAUCUUAGGGUGACCGGCCCCGUCCAGGACCUCUGUCAGUGAAGGGGCAGUCAGCAAUGCGUCCGUCGGAGAGCGACCAAAAUCUGUACGGGUGAUUCACCGUCAGAUGGGCAUGUGGGAG